UACGAAGGGGGCUAGCGUUGCUCGGAAUCACUGGGCGUAAAGGGUGCGUAGGCGGGUCUUUAAGUCAGGGGUGAAAUCCUGGAGCUCAACUCCAGAACUGCCUUUGAUACUGAAGAUCUUGAGUUCGGGAGAGGUGAGUGGAACUGCGAGUGUAGAGGUGAAAUUCGUAGAUAUUCGCAAGAACACCAGUGGCGAAGGCGGCUCACUGGCCCGAUACUGACGCUGAGGCACGAAAACGUGGGGAGCAAACAGG
rnacentral:rRNA from 1 species